rnacentral:rRNA from 1 species
UUCGGCAAGAGCUCAGAUUUGAAAUCUCACCUAGUGUGCGAGUUGUAAAUUGCAGGUUGGAGUCUCGGGUUAGACGUGUGUGCAAGUCCCUUGGAACAGGGUGCCACUGAGGGUGAGAGCCCCGUAUCGUGCAUGUCGACACCUGUGAGGCCCUUCUGACGAGUCGAGUUGUUUGGGAAUGCAGCUCUAAGUGGGUGGUAAAUUCCAUCUAAGGCUAAAUAUUGGCGAGAGACCGAUAGCGAACAAGUACUGUGAAGGAAAGAUGAAAAGCACUUUGAAAAGAGAGUGAAACAGCACGUGAAAUUGUUGAAAGGGAAGGGUAUUGGGCUCGACAUGGGAUUUACGCAUCGUUGCCUCUCGUGGGCGGCGCUCUGGGUUUUUCCUGGGCCAGCAUCGGUUUUCGUUGCAGGAUAAGGACAAUUGGAAUGUGGCUCCCUCGGGAGUGUUAUAGCCUUUUGUAGAUGCUGCGUAUGGGGACCGAGGGCUGCGGCGGACUCGUU